rnacentral:rRNA from 1 species
GACGAACCGUGCGAACGUUGUUCGGAAUCACUGGGCUUAAAGGGCGCGUAGGCGGGCGGGCAAGUCUGCGGUGAAAGCCUCCAGCUCAACUGGAGAAGUGCCGUGGAUACUGCUCAUCUUGAGGAGGGUAGGGGCGUCUGGAACGUUGGGUGGAGCGGUGAAAUGCGUUGAUAUCGGCAGGAACUCCGAUGGCGAAGGCAAGGUGCUGGACCCUUUCUGACGCUGAGGCGCGAAAGCCAGGGGAGCAAACGGG